AGGACGAACGCUGGCGGCGUGCCUAACACAUGCAAGUCGAACGAGGUCCAAGAGAGCUUGCUCUCUGAAGACCUAGUGGCGAACGGGUGAGUAACACGUGAGCAACCUGCCCUGGAAUCGGGGAUAACUCGAGGAAACUCGAGCUAAUACCGGAUACCUUCCCCUGGCCGCAUGACCGGGGGAAGAAAGAAUUUCGUUCCAGGAGGGGCUCGCGGCCUAUCAGUUAGUUGGCGGGGUAACGGCCCACCAAGACUACGACGGGUAGCUGGUUUGAGAGAACGAUCAGCCACACUGGGACUGAGACACGGCCCAGACUCCUACGGGAGGCAGCAGUGGGGAAUCUUGCGCAAUGGGCGAAAGCCUGACGCAGCAACGCCGCGUGCGGGAUGACGGCCUUCGGGUUGUAAACCGCUUUCAGCAGGGACGAAAUGACGGUACCUGCAGAAGAAGCCCCGGCUAACUACGUGCCAGCAGCCGC
rnacentral:rRNA from 1 species